GUUAUAACCGGCGAUUUCCGAAUGGGGAAACCCAGUGUGAUUCGUCACACUAUCAUUAACUGAAUCCAUAGGUUAAUGAGGCGAACCGGGGGAACUGAAACAUCUAAGUACCCCGAGGAAAAGAAAUCAACCGAGAUUCCCCCAGUAGCGGCGAGCGAACGGGGAGCAGCCCAGAGCCUGAAUCAGUGUGUGUGUUAGUGGAAGCGUCUGGAAAGGCGUGCGAUACAGGGUGACAGCCCCGUACACAAAAAUGCACAUACUGUGAGCUCGAUGAGUAGGGCGGGACACGUGGUAUCCUGUCUGAAUAUGGGGGGACCAUCCUCCAAGGCUAAAUACUCCUGACUGACCGAUAGUGAACCAGUACCGUGAGGGAAAGGCGAAAAGAACCCCGGCGAGGGGAGUGAAAAAGAACCUGAAACCGUGUACGUACAAGCAGUGGGAGCACGCUUAGGCGUGUGACUGCGUACCUUUUGUAUAAUGGGUCAGCGACUUAUAUUCUGUAGCAAGGUUAACCGAAUAGGGGAGCCGAAGGGAAACCGAGUCUUAACUGGGCGUUAAGUUGCAGGGUAUAGACCCGAAACCCGGUGAUCUAGCCAUGGGCAGGUUGAAGGUUGGGUAACACUAACUGGAGGACCGAACCGACUAAUGUUGAAAAAUUAGCGGAUGACUUGUGGCUGGGGGUGAAAGGCCAAUCAAACCGGGAGAUAGCUGGUUCUCCCCGAAAGCUAUUUAGGUAGCGCCUCGUGAAUUCAUCUCCGGGGGUAGAGCACUGUUUCGGCAAGGGGGUCAUCCCGACUUACCAACCCGAUGCAAACUGCGAAUACCGGAGAAUGUUAUUACGGGAGACACACGGCGGGUGCUAACGUCCGUCGUGAAGAGGGAAACAACCCAGACCGCCAGCUAAGGUCCCAAAGUCAUGGUUAAGUGGGAAACGAUGUGGGAAGGCCCAGACAGCCAGGAUGUUGGCUUAGAAGCAGCCAUCAUUUAAAGAAAGCGUAAUAGCUCACUGGUCGAGUCGGCCUGCGCGGAAGAUGUAACGGGGCUAAACCAUGCACCGAAGCUGCGGCAGCGACGCUUAUGCGUUGUUGGGUAGGGGAGCGUUCUGUAAGCCUGUGAAGGUGUGCUGUGAGGUAUGCUGGAGGUAUCAGAAGUGCGAAUGCUGACAUAAGUAACGAUAAAGCGGGUGAAAAGCCCGCUCGCCGGAAGACCAAGGGUUCCUGUCCAACGUUAAUCGGGGCAGGGUGAGUCGACCCCUAAGGCGAGGCCGAAAGGCGUAGUCGAUGGGAAACAGGUUAAUAUUCCUGUACUUGGUGUUACUGCGAAGGGGGGACGGAGAAGGCUAUGUUGGCCGGGCGACGGUUGUCCCGGUUUAAGGGUGUAGGCUGGUUUUCCAGGCAAAUCCGGAAAAUCAAGGCCGAGGCGUGAUGACGAGGCACUACGGUGCUGAAGCAACAAAUGCCCUGCUUCCAGGAAAAGCCUCUAAGCAUCAGGUAACAUCAAAUCGUACCCCAAACCGACACAGGUGGUCAGGUAGAGAAUACCAAGGCGCUUGAGAGAACUCGGGUGAAGGAACUAGGCAAAAUGGUGCCGUAACUUCGGGAGAAGGCACGCUGAUACGUAGGUGAAGCGACUUGCUCGUGGAGCUGAAAUCAGUCGAAGAUACCAGCUGGCUGCAACUGUUUAUUAAAAACACAGCACUGUGCAAACACGAAAGUGGACGUAUACGGUGUGACGCCUGCCCGGUGCCGGAAGGUUAAUUGAUGGGGUUAGCGCAAGCGAAGCUCUUGAUCGAAGCCCCGGUAAACGGCGGCCGUAACUAUAACGGUCCUAAGGUAGCGAAAUUCCUUGUCGGGUAAGUUCCGACCUGCACGAAUGGCGUAAUGAUGGCCAGGCUGUCUCCACCCGAGACUCAGUGAAAUUGAACUCGCUGUGAAGAUGCAGUGUACCCGCGGCAAGACGGAAAGACCCCGUGAACCUUUACUAUAGCUUGACACUGAACAUUGAGCCUUGAUGUGUAGGAUAGGUGGGAGGCUUUGAAGUGUGGACGCCAGUCUGCAUGGAGCCGACCUUGAAAUACCACCCUUUAAUGUUUGAUGUUCUAACGUGGACCCGUGAUCCGGGUUGCGGACAGUGUCUGGUGGGUAGUUUGACUGGGGCGGUCUCCUCCUAAAGAGUAACGGAGGAGCACGAAGGUUGGCUAAUCCUGGUCGGACAUCAGGAGGUUAGUGCAAUGGCAUAAGCCAGCUUGACUGCGAGCGUGACGGCGCGAGCAGGUGCGAAAGCAGGUCAUAGUGAUCCGGUGGUUCUGAAUGGAAGGGCCAUCGCUCAACGGAUAAAAGGUACUCCGGGGAUAACAGGCUGAUACCGCCCAAGAGUUCAUAUCGACGGCGGUGUUUGGCACCUCGAUGUCGGCUCAUCACAUCCUGGGGCUGAAGUAGGUCCCAAGGGUAUGGCUGUUCGCCAUUUAAAGUGGUACGCGAGCUGGGUUUAGAACGUCGUGAGACAGUUCGGUCCCUAUCUGCCGUGGGCGCUGGAGAACUGAGGGGGGCUGCUCCUAGUACGAGAGGACCGGAGUGGACGCAUCACUGGUGUUCGGGUUGUCAUGCCAAUGGCACUGCCCGGUAGCUAAAUGCGGAAGAGAUAAGUGCUGAAAGCAUCUAAGCACGAAACUUGCCCCGAGAUGAGUUCUCCCUGACCCUUUAAGGGUCCUGAAGGAACGUUGAAGACGACGACGUUGAUAGGCCGGGUGUGUAAGCGCAGCGAUGCGUUGAGCUAACCGGUACUAAUGAACCGUGAGGCUUAACCUUACAACGCCGAAG
rnacentral:rRNA from 1 species